ACAUUCCGACAGGGGAGCGCCACAGCGCUGAGAGUGCGGCAGUGUCACGGACCGAGCGUCACGGACACCGGGUGCCGCAGACCCUUGAACCUCGCCCGGGUCAUUCCGGGUAGGAAGUUCGGUCGUCACUCAUG
rnacentral:ncRNA from 22 species